ensembl:lncRNA
GUUAAUGCGUAAUAUUGACAAGUGCACUGAGUGCUCACCAGCUGGUGAAGAAAAUGCACCAACUCAACGCUCAAUGAACACGCGGCAGGGGACACGGCUGACUGUAAGCAGCCAGUAACAAGUUGCGGGGACACGGCUGACCGUCAGCACACAGGAAGAAGCCUUCAUACUUCAGGGGCUUCAGUAGGGCUACUAAACACGCCGUGCGGGAACUGAACGAGAAAGGACGUCACGGCCGCACAGAGAGUGCAACUGCGCGUUCACGUGCAUGUAGUAGGCCAAACGCUGACCGCCAUGGACGUGCGUGGACUGAGGUUGGUGCAUAUAGAAGACGCAGAGAAAUGCUGAGAUAAUCACAUUUUGUUUUCGUUCUACAUGCAAAUGCAUCCGACCCACUGAGAUUUCCAUUAACACCCCCGGCGCAUGUUUGAAGACAUCUUCCAGUAGGCGGUAGUCAUUUAGCUUUUUCUCAGCAACACUU